GAUGAACGCUGGCGGCGUGCCUAAUACAUGCAAGUAGAACGCUGAAGGAGGAGCUUGCUCUUCUGGAUGAGUUGCGAACGGGUGAGUAACGCGUAGGUAACCUGCCUGGUAGCGGGGGAUAACUAUUGGAAACGAUAGCUAAUACCGCAUGACAACAGUUAUUGCAUGAUAACUGUUUAAAAGGGGCAACUGCUCCACUACCAGAUGGACCUGCGUUGUAUUAGCUAGUUGGUGAGGUAACGGCUCACCAAGGCGACGAUACAUAGCCGACCUGAGAGGGUGAUCGGCCACACUGGGACUGAGACACGGCCCAGACUCCUACGGGAGGCAGCAGUAGGGAAUCUUCGGCAAUGGACGGAAGUCUGACCGAGCAACGCCGCGUGAGUGAAGAAGGUUUUCGGAUCGUAAAGCUCUGUUGUAAGAGAAGAAAGAGUGUGAGAGUGGAAAGUUCACCCUGUGACGGUAUCUUACCAGAAAGGGACGGCUAACUACGUG
rnacentral:rRNA from 1 species